GGGCCUCUUGCUCACGCUUGAUUAGAGCAGUGGACUCGUAAUCCAUUAGUACCAUGUACGACUCACGGGAGGCCCA
rnacentral:tRNA from 1 species